UGUGGUGUUCCGCCAUAUCAUUCUAAAAAUAGUAAAUCCUAUCUGAACGUGGAAGGUAACUAGGCUCGGGCCUGGUUAGUGCUAGGAUGGGAGACCACAAAGGAAUACCAGGAAUCUCCAAGU
rnacentral:rRNA from 1 species